rnacentral:lncRNA from 1 species
AGCUGUGACACCAACGUGGCCAGGAAAGCAAUUCCUACUCCAAGACCAAAGCCACUUCGUGAUCUAUCAAAUGUCCACCACAGCCCAAUUGACAGGGCUGCUAACGUGAGAGACAACUGGAUAUUGUUGGCAAAAUCCACUUUAGCGCUGGCAUGAUUUAUUCCCACAAAGACCGCUACACACCGCAUUACACUGGACCAUUCUCUCUUAAAUUUAUGUGGCUCUCCCAGAUGUCUGUCCAUGCAUGGGUACAAUAACCCAAUCACAGCAAAUUCAUGCCAUGACUGGUUACAGAUGAAAUGUAUGGACCACUCUUUUUUGGUAAUGUUGGCUUUGCAUCAUUUUCCGCCAUGACUUCUUAUGUUCUCAGAGGCAUCCGACAGGCUCACUGAGGAGGAUUCACUUGUAGUUGGGAUUUCAAUUAGGAGCUACCCAAACCUCGGCCUCCGCCAUCUUCUCCUCCCGCGCCAGUCCCCGCCCCGCGCAGCCUCCGCAGCCUCCCGCCGGCGGGGGCGGGCCGGCCCGGGCGCUCCGAGUGCCGGCCCGCGGGGCGGAGGGCCCUGAGGCGCCGGGCAGCGCGGUGGUCGCGGUCCCUCAACCGCUCGCCAUCACACUUGUGCUGCAGCUACCUCCCAGCCCCGCCGCCCUCAGCGUCUGUUGGUCAUACAACAGCGCUGCUUUGCACUUGUAUCAGGGCAAAAUGCAGAGAACGCAGAAAACAGCUCGCGUCCACCCGAGUGUUUCACUUCUCCUAAGCGAAAACGUGAAGCGUAAAAUCAGAGUUCACACGCGCUGGUCGAAAGCAACGUGCGUGCAGAGUAAGGGGAGAAGUAAACAACCCAAAAUUCAGCGGUGGUUAAACUGUACAGCGCUUGUUGUGUGUGGGAAUGGGUUGCCAGGAUAAACGGACGGACGUGGGCCUUGGGCUGUCUGUGACAUGGCUACACAGCAAACUGCAGGAGCGGAACGUGGAAGAUGAAAUACUCCUCAGCUAUCGCUGCUCCCUGAGCCCAGCUGUCUCGAGCACCUGACUGCAGAGAGUUGCACGUGUGCUUAACUUUACUGAUUAAGGCAAAAGGAGACACAGCUCAUUACUCCAGAAACCACAUUUUCAUCACCAAUUUGUGGUCUCUCGGGGGGAAGGCGAAAUGUGAAGCAGGCAGCAAUCUGCUUUAACCUUUCUUCACAAGCAGACAAGGCAUAACAAUAAAAAAACAUCAUUUAUUGUAUACGUGGGAAGGUAUAUAGGGGCAUAAUGCUGCUGUAUUCAUUAUUAAAUCUAUUUCUGUAUCAUGGUCAUUAUUAUUCCCUCUGAACUUUUUCUGUUCUCAUUGCACUGAUAUCUAAUACAAUUUAAAAAUGUUUGCACACAGCCUUCUUGUUUCAUUGCAGACACUUUGCUGAGCUCUCCGUAUUCCCAGGCUCAUUCACAGAGGUUCAGUGCAGUGGAGUUCCCGUUUCCAGCCCUCGGUUAAUGCUUGGAUGGGAUGAAAUUGGUUACUGUGUUUACUACAGCAGUAUCUUUAGCGAUAACUGUAGUUUCUCUGUGCUGAUAAGCUCUGAAAAACACUGUACCAAAACAUAGAUAAAGGAGAGGAUAUGGAUCUGUAAUAGACAUAAUAAAAAUGGGAAAGGAAGAGAUUUACAGCAGCAG